UACGAAGGGGGCUAGCGUUGCUCGGAAUCACUGGGCGUAAAGCGCACGUAGGCGGACUCUUAAGUCGGUGGUGAAAUCCUGGAGCUCAACUCCAGAACUGCCUUCGAUACUGGGAGUCUCGAGUCCGGGAGAGGUAAGCGGAAUUCCUGGUGUAGCGGUGAAAUGCGUAGAUAUCAGGAGGAACACCUGCGGUGUAGACGGCUUACUGGACCAUAACUGACGCUGAGGCACGAAAGCGUGGGUAGCAAACAGG
rnacentral:rRNA from 1 species